AUUGAACGCUGGCGGCAGGCCUAACACAUGCAAGUCGAGCGAGCGGCGGACGGUGAGUAAUGUCUGGGAAACUGCCUGGUGGAGGGGGAUAACUACUGGAAAAGGUAGCCAAUACCGCAUACCAACAGGAGUUCCCGGAUGGGAGUAGCUAGUGGGUGGGGUAAUGGCCCACCUAGGCGACGAUCCCCAGCUGGUCUGAGAGGAUGACCCGCCACACUGGAACGGUGACACGGUCCAGACUCCUACGGGAGGCAGCAGUGGGGAAUAUUGCACAAUGGGCGCAAGCCUGAUGCAGCCAUGCCGCGUGUGUGAAGAAGGCCUUCGGGUUGUAAAGCACUUUCAGCGGGGAGGCGUUACCCGCAGAAGAAGCACCGGCUAACUCCGUGCCAGCAGCCGCGGUAAUAC
rnacentral:rRNA from 1 species